UACAGAGGUCUCAAGCGUUGUUCGGAUUCAUUGGGCGUAAAGGGUGCGUAGGCGGCGCGGUAAGUCGGGUGUGAAAUCUCGGAGCUUAACUUCGAAACUGCAUUCGAUACUGCCGUGCUUGAGGACUGGAGAGGAGACUGGAAUUUACGGUGUAGCGGUGAAAUGCGCAGAUAUCAGGAGGAACACCGGUGGUGUAGACGGCUUUCUGGACCGACACUGACGCUGAGACACGAAAGCGUGGGUAGCAAACAGG
rnacentral:rRNA from 1 species